GAUGAACGCUGGCGGCGUGCCUAAUACAUGCAAGUCGAGCGAACAGACGAGGAGCUUGCUCCUUCGACGUUAGCGGCGGACGGGUGAGUAACACGUAGGUAACCUACCUAUAAGACUGGGAUAACUUCGGGAAACCGGAGCUAAUACCGGAUAAUAUUUCGAACCGCAUGGUUCGAUAGUGAAAGAUGGCUUUGCUAUCACUUAUAGAUGGACCUGCGCCGUAUUAGCUAGUUGGUAAGGUAACGGCUUACCAAGGCAACGAUACGUAGCCGACCUGAGAGGGUGAUCGGCCACACUGGAACUGAGACACGGUCCAGACUCCUACGGGAGGCAGCAGUAGGGAAUCUUCCGCAAUGAGCGAAAGCCUGACGGAGCAACGCCGCGUGAGUGAUGAAGGUCUUCGGAUCGUAAAACUCUGUUAUUAGGGAAGAACAAACGUGUAAGUAACUGUGCACGUCUUGACGGUACCUAAUCAGAAAGCCACGGCUAACUACGUG
rnacentral:rRNA from 1 species